AGAGUUUGAUCAUGGCUCAGAACGAACGCUGCCGGCAGGCUUAACACAUGCAAGUCGAACGAUGUAGCAAUACAUAGUGCGCACGGGUGAGUAACGCGUGGGAAUAUACCUUAUAGUGGGGAAUAACUUUGGGAAACUAAAGCUAAUACCGCAUACGCCCGAGAGGGGAAAGAUUUAUCGCUAUAAGAUUAGCCCGCGUGAGAUUAGGUAGUUGGUGGGGUAAUGGCCUACCAAGCCUACGAUCUCUAGCUGGUCUGAGAGGAUGAUCAGCCACACUGGAACUGAGACACGGUCCAGACUCCUACGGGAGGCAGCAGUGGGGAAUAUUGGGCAAUGGAGGAAACUCUGACCCAGCCAUGCCGCGUGAAUGAUGAAGGCCUUAGGGUUGUAAAGUUCUUUCGCCGAUGAAGAUAAUGACGGUAGUCGGAGAAGAAGCCCCGGCUAACUUCGUGCCAGCAGCCGCGGUAAUACGAAGGGGGCUAGCGUUGUUCGGAAUUACGGGGCGUAAAGCGAGCGUAGGUUGCUCGAUAAGUCAGUGGUGAAAGCCCAGAGCUCAACUCUGGAACUGCCAUUGAAACUGUCGAGCUGGAAUCUCAGAGGGGGUAGCGGAAUUCCAAAUGUAGGGGUGAAAUCCGUAGAUAUUUGGAGGAACACCGGUGGCGAAGGCGGCUACCUGGAUGAGUAUUGACACUGAGGCUCGAAAGCGUGGGGAUCAAACAGGAUUAGAUACCCCGGUAGUCC
rnacentral:rRNA from 1 species